rnacentral:lncRNA from 10 species
AUAAGGGCUGACUUAACUCUGUGAGCACAUUACGCAUAGAGAAAUAUUUCUUUCAUUAUCGCACAGAAGAAGCGAGUGAAAGGUCAUACAAGAUAUUUCACCAAAGAAAUAGAAUUCCACUUUGACAAGAUCUCACAGCGUCAGUGCCUCAUAGGGUAUUUCUCUUUUUUUAAUUUUUAUUUUAAUUUUUGCAGGUACACAGUAGGUGUAUAUAUUUAUGGACUACAUGAGAUACAGGCAUGCAAUGCAUAAUAAUCACAUCAUGGAAAAUUGGGUAUUCAUCACCUCAAGCAUUUAUCCUUUGUGUUACAGAUAAUCCACUUCUACUCUUUUAC